GAUAUCCACUGUGGAAUUCGCCCUUCCGCGGUAAUUCCAGCUCCAAGAGCGUAUAUUGACGUUGCUGCUGUCAAAGGGUUCAGUCGGGAGACGAGCCGGUGGCAGCAGGGCGGUGUCCUUCGGGGCACGCUUUGUGGUUCCGCGUGGAUGCACUUCCGCAUGGAGUAUGCGUGCGGGCCGCCCGCCGCACUACUGUGAACAAAACAGCGUGCCCAAAGCAGGCUUUGAUGCCUGAAUGAAGAAGCAUGGAAUGACAAGGGAUCGACCGCUGAGACGCUCCUUUUGAUGGUUUUGAUCGUCCGUGUGGACAGAUCGGAGCGCAUUCCGUCGUUGUAGUUAUGGGCUUCGGCCUUUGACUGCGCUCGGAUGCGUCCCUGCUGGGUUCAAGCGGGGCUGUCGGACUGAGACGUAUGGUUGCGCGAGGGGUGAAAUCCUAUGACCGCAGCCAGGCGAGCAUCCGCGAAGGAUCUCAGGAGUAUGCCUUUUAUGGACCGAGAACCAAAGCGUGGAGAUCGAAGAUGAUCAGAUACCAUCGUAGUCCACGCUGUAAACGAUGGCACCCCAUGGAUUGGGUUGUGCCGCUUGA
rnacentral:rRNA from 1 species